UACGUAGGGUGCAAGCGUUGUCCGGAAUUAUUGGGCGUAAAGAGCUCGUAGGCGGUUUGUCACGUCUGCUGUGAAAACUCGGGGCUUAACCCCGAGCCUGCAGUGGAUACGGGCAGACUAGAGGUAGGUAGGGGAGAAUGGAAUUCCCGGUGUAGCGGUGAAAUGCGCAGAUAUCAGGAAGAACACCCGUGGCGAAGGCGGCUCUCUGGGACGGUACUGACGCUGAGACGCGAAAGCGUGGGGAGCAAACAGG
rnacentral:rRNA from 1 species